GCCUCUUCUAAUGCCUUCAGCACUUUCUGAUCAAGAAAUUUAUUAUUCUCCCCCCUUUUUUUCUUACUCUGAAGUUACAUGGUUACAAUUUCUUCAGAAAUGGGCUUAAAAGACUUGCUCUGCCCUUAUGCACUCAUUAAAUAUCAAAAUCCUCACCAAAACUGCCAUGGUAUUAGAGCAAUGUAAGAGCCAUGUGACUCACCAACAAUUCUAUUUCUCUGUUUCUCUAACAACUGCAGUCAGUGACAUAGGUGCCAUUCGAAAUUCUUUCUUCAUCUGCUAUAGGCUGAUAAGAUCAAGUAAAGCAGCUUUAUUCACUUCGUGCAAUCCAACUUCAUUAAAAAGAGGAAAUGUAAAAGGAUCAGUUCAUACUAAAAAUACCUUAGUGGUACUUCAUCACUUGUGUUUAAAUAUAAUCUUUGAAAAAAGCAGUAGCAGAUGAGAAAAAACUGGGCAAUCUGGUCAGAACACAUAAUCAGUUAACGUGUAGAGACGCAAUUAGCGCUGAAACCUUACUGCAUUCCUCAUCUCUUUUCUGUCACUUCAAGCUGCAUUUCCAGUGAAUUCCAAAGAAAAGGUCAUUUGGAAAAUUGGGCAUCUUCAAUGAAUGGAUUAGGGUGGAGGUUGAUAAACCUUUGAAGAGCCGCAUGGAAAGAGAUGCAAAGAAAGACACGCUGUGUUGUUUUUUUCCCCCACAGACUGACUUCUUUGGAGUUACAAUAAAGCCAAGCUUUUCUCUUUCCUUGUUUACCA
rnacentral:lncRNA from 13 species